CCAAUAGCGUAUAUUAAAGUUGUUGCAGUUAAAAAGCUCGUAGUUGAAUUUCGGGAUCAAGGAAUCGGUCAUGCCUCGGUAUGUACUGGUUUUAUUGGUUCUCACCUUCUAAAGAACCAUAAUGUCAUUUAUUUGGUGUUAUGGGGAAUUAGGACUGUUACCUUGAAAAAAUUAGAGUGUUUAAAGCAAGCUUACGCUUGAAUACAUUAGCAUGGAAUAAUGAAAUAGGACAUCCGAUUCUAUUUUGUUGGUUUCUAGGAUCGAUGUAAUGAUUAAUAGGGAUAGUUGGGGGCAUUAGUAUUCAAUUGUCAGAGGUGAAAUUCUUGGAUUUAUUGAAGACUAACUACUGCGAAAGCAUUUGCCAAGGAUGUUUUCAUUAAUCAAGAACGAAAGUUAGGGGAUCGAAGACGAUCAGAUACCGUCGUAGUCUUAACCAUAAACUAUGCCGACUAGGGAUCGGAUGAUGUUUAUUUUUUAGUGACUCAUUCGGCACCUUACG
rnacentral:rRNA from 1 species